AGUAUGUUCGUCGUCUUUGUGUAGUCUUUGUCGUAGUAACGCGGGGUACGCUCGUGUGCACACGAUCGGUGAUAUUUUGUACUGCGUAAUGUUCAUUGGUUUGAGAACAUUGAAACAAAAAAUAUCUAUGUAUAUGAUAUCCUGGACAUCGGGAACUAUCAAUGAAUAGUUUCUUGCAUUUUGUAGUGAAUUGAAAAAAAACAAAGUAUAAUAAAAAAAUAU